rnacentral:rRNA from 1 species
GACGAACGCUGGCGGCGUGCUUAAUACAUGCAAGUCGAACGGAAAGGCCCUACUUUUGUUGGUUGCUCGAGUGGCGAACGGGUGAGUAACACGUGAGUAUCCUGCCCUUGACUUUGGGAUAACUUCUGGAAACUGCGGCUAUUACCGGAUAUGAGCUCCUGCUGCAUAGUGGUGGUUGGAAAGUUUCGGCGGUUGGGGAUGGACUCGCGGCUUAUCAGCUUGUUGGUGGGGUAGUGGCUUACCAAGGCUUUGAAGGGUAGCCGGCCUGAGAGGGUGACCGGCCACAUUGGGACUGAGAUACGGCCCAGACUCCUACGGGAGGCAGCAGUGGGGAAUAUUGCACAAUGGGCGGAAGCCUGAUGCAGCAACGCCGCGUGCGGGAUGACGGCCUUCGGGGUGUAAACCGCUUUCGCCUGUGACGAAGCGUGAGUGACGGUAAUGGGUAAAGAAGCACCGGCUAACUACGUG